UGGUGGAGCGAUUUGUCUGGUCAAUUCCGAUAACGAACGAGACUCUAGCCUACUAAAUAGUUCGGGGACCCCCACAAAGGGGCCCCGCUUCAAUUUCUUAGAGGGACAGGUGGCGUUUAGCCACACGAGAUUGAGCAAUAACA
rnacentral:rRNA from 1 species